rnacentral:tRNA from 1 species
GCCGAGAUGGCGGAAUUGGCAGACGCGCAUGGCUUAGGACCAUGUGGGGAAACCCGUCGGAGUUCAAGUCUCCGUCUCGGCA